CAGCGAGAACACAGAGAAACAGCUUCUCUUGGAGCUAAGGGUUUGAAGGAGGGGUGACAGGCAGGAACAGGAGCAAUGGGCACACUUUCAGAGAGCUAAGGGAACCGUUGCCAAAACUCAACAUAAAACUGUAUGGACGUCUCAGGUCUCCAUUCCUUCCUUUGCAAAGAUACCUGACUGCUGGGGUACUAAUCAAGAUUCUCAACGCCACCACUCCCGAGCCUCAGGGUUGCACAUGCCAUGGAGACUUUUGAUUUUAGGAAAGUUUGUUGCUUUGGGACAAUCUCAGCUGUCUCACAAGAAGUUAAUUACUGGGUUUCCUGACUGCUUACUGCCCUGGUGUGUGUGUGUGUGUGUGUGUGUGUGUGUGUGUGUGUGUGUGUGUGUGUGUGUGUGUGUGUGUUAGUCCCACCUAAAGGUAAAGGAAUAUUCUAGAUUCCCCGAUGCUCUUUGCAACCCCAGGGUUCCCUGGCAACGCAUCCUCUGCUGUCCUCAGGACUAGGAGAAAAAAGUAUAUUGUGCUUGAGAUGGAAACUCUUGGCCCAAGGUGCUGCAAUGAGGCUCGACUCAGAAGAGUACCAAACACAGGAAGGGAGGGGGUUUACAAGGCAACA